ACCGCUCUGGUUGACUAGUGGUUAGACCGUCCGCCUCGGGUGCGGGAGGUCGCAGCUUCGAACCCUGGCCGAGUCAUA